GUGGGAAGCUAUUAAGCUAUUAAUGUAUCAUAUUAAUUGUAUUCAGAUAUUAAGUGAGGAGGUAAAGUUGCAUUCACAGGCCUUGAACUUUUCCACAUCUCGAUUUUUACCCAUCAUCUCUGAAUAGUUCCCUAAGGCAGCCUUCAAAUGGUGAUGUUUCUUAUAAUCCAGAGUUCAGAAGUGGCUUCUCUUCAAUCUUUCUGUGGAAUUCUAAACCAUGUGAUAAAGGAGCUGGUGGUGAGAAAUAAGGGAAGGCAGAGAUGAAAAGGAAUGGGCAGAAGCUUUUGGAGAGGAAUAACCACUGAGAUUGCCAUGAAAGAUUCAUUCUGACAUUCUUUUCAUGUAUUUAAUGCAAUCAAAAAAGAAUCCACAGCUAACCACAAAUAAUGUCUUGCUAUGUUGCCCAGGCUGGUCUCAAACUCUGGGGCUCAAAUGAUCCACCCAUCUUGGCCUCCCAAAGUGCUACGUGUGAACCACUGCACCUGGCCAAAAAUAUUUUACUAAGAAAAAGGAGUCACCUAUUGUAUGAUUCCAUUUAUAUGAAAUAUCCAAAAUAGAAAUCAUCACUGGGCUGAAAGAAUGUAGUACUGGUGACAUGAGACUGCAUUUCCAUUUUUAAUUAAAAUUCUAACUGACCCAGAGCCAGAUUUCCUUCUGCACCAGAGCCUGUGGAAGCGCCACAGUGGAAGCAGCAGAGACUGGAAGAGCAGGCCACAGAUCAGCCCUGGGGUUCAGAGGGAUCCUGACGGCUACUCCUCAAGAUCCUCUCUGUUGUGAUUCAUCCCCCCCGGGCCCUACAGUUUCUCCUUCCUGACUCUUACAUUUCUUUGGAUGGCAUCAUUAUUUACCUGUCUCCUCCCAUAGUUAGGUGCCAAGCACUGUGGAUUCUGCCCCUC
rnacentral:antisense_RNA from 1 species